GAAAAAAGCUANUAAGGGCACACGGAGGAUGCCUAGGCAACAACAGCCGAUGAAGGACGUGAUAAGCUGCGAUAAGCCGGGAGUAGAUGCACAUAAUCGUUAAUCCCCGGAUUUCCGAAUGGGAAAACCUGCAUAUAUGGAGGAUAUGCGUGAAAACGGUAAGCCCGUGAACUGAAACAUCUAAGUAACGGGAGGAAAAGAAAGUAAAAACGAUUCCCUAAGUAGCGGCGAGCGAACGGGGAUAAGCCUAAACCGUGUCAGUGUCAAGCGGACAGCAUUGCUGACACGGGGUUGUGGGACUUCCAUUAACGGAUUGUCAUAAUGUUUAAGUUGUAUGUAUGUAAGUAGAAUCAGUUGGGAAGCUGAACCAAAGAAGGUGAUAGUCCUGUAGAACAUAAAAUAUAUAUAACAACUGGAAGCACCCGAGUAGCGUCAGGCACGAGGAAUCUGGCGUGAAUCAGCGUGGACCAUGUCACGUAAGGCUAAAUACUGU
rnacentral:rRNA from 1 species